GGAUAAUCACCCAGACACUCAGAUCGUUUUAACUUCAUAUGACAAAACACUGUAUCGAUUGGAGUCUUUGAAAUUAUUCACAGUCCAAGUUUUGAGGGAAACAGUGCGGAAAGUUUGAGAAUUAGUUCAGUUUGGGGCAUUUUCAAGAAGCGAAGAGACUUAGUUUUGCAAAUUUCAGGCUGUUUUGACAAUCUUACAGGGAGGGGUUUGGACAGGAAGCAAAGAGAAAAGGUUUCGAACAACAAUUUGGAGGAAGGGAAUUAGCUAUUAGACAAGUAACACUGCUUUUCUGUUUUUCCGGUUCGGGAUUUUGCUGCUUUUUCUUCAGAAGGAACAGAAGUUAUAACCUUCUCAUUGGUUUUGAUAAUUGUGAAUCUUUCUAAUUCUAGACUGCAGAUCUUUGCUGUACUUGGAUUUUCUUGAAGGCAUCAAACCAACCAUCAUUACAGUAUUACACAGAUGUGCCACUUUGAUCCAAGUGUCUAGGCCAAUCAAUCAUUCUACUUUCUGCAGCUUCUGUCUUCAAAUCGUCUGUUGCAUAUGAAAACCGGGUGCUGGAGCUGAAGGGGCCACUUGAACUCUUAAAGGGCGUUAGAGCAGAAGAAUGUACGUGCAGUUGUUCAGGAAAGCAUGAUACUACCCUCAUCUUAGCUGUAUUUAUAAUUAGUCGGUCAAAAAAUGCUAUUCAAUGCAGAAAAGCCGAAGAAUGUAUGUGCAACUGUUCAAGAGCUGGGGUACAAGAGGGUCAUGCUAGCAUAAAAUCAUUGGCUGCCAGAGAGCAACGCCUGAAUACAACUUUGGCCGUGUUUUAUAGUAUCAGGCACUAAUGGGGGAGCAUAAUACCAGAGACUUCUGAUAUGUCACCAAGCAUGUUUGGUGUUUAUAAAGAUACUGAUGUUGUUUCUCAUGUUUCGUGCUCCUUAGCAGUUGUAUGUUUAAUUGAGAGUAAAAAUAGAAUAGAAAAGAGUUGAC
rnacentral:lncRNA from 1 species